CGAUUAGGAUGAAAAAGUGACCUGAGAAAAAGAAAAUGAAGGCGGUGGUACGAGGUAUGGUUUCGUUACCGUCAAGGUUGUCGAGUCGAGAGGUGAAACGAUAAGUAUAAGAGAGUUAUAAGUUGAAGUAAGAAACGUUACCGCGUUUUUCGGAAUUUCAGUUUUGUUUUAUAUCGAUCGAUAUGAAUUGCAUGUUUGCCAUGUGCGAAUUGUUGAAGCGGUUAUCUUUGUUUUGCUUCACUCUGUCACCACCAUUACUUUAAUUACCUUUCCCUUUUCAAGCUUUAUUUCAACGCUUUAAAGCAAAAGCUCU
rnacentral:lncRNA from 1 species